CACGUAGGGCGCAAGCGUUGUCCGGAAUUAUUGGGCGUAAAGAGCUCGUAGGCGGUCUGUUGCGUCCGCUGUGAAAACUCGGGGCUUAACCCCGAGCCUGCAGUGGAUACGGGCAGACUAGAGGUAGGUAGGGGAGAAUGGAAUUCCCGGUGUAGCGGUGAAAUGUGCAGAUAUCAGGAGGAACACCGGUGGCGAAGGCGGAUCUCUGGGCCUUGCCUGACGCUGAGGAGCGAAAGCGUGGGGAGCGAACAGG
rnacentral:rRNA from 1 species